rnacentral:misc_RNA from 1 species
GAAAUGCGAUACGUAAUGUGAAUUGCAGAAUUCCGUGAAUCAUCGAAUCUUUGAACGCACCUUGCGCCUCUUGGUAUUCCGAGGGGCAUGCCUGUUUGAGUGUCAUUGAAUCCUCAAAAGAAAAGCUUUAACUGCUUUCUCUUUUGGAAUUGGAGUGUGCUGGCCUUCUGUUCAGGAAGCCCAGCUCCUCUGAAAUACAUUAGCGAUGUGACAUCCGCAUGGCACCACGCUUCUCUGGCAUUGAUAGUAUCUUCAUGCCUGAGCGUGUUGUGCAGCUGUGGAAAGUUUCGCUCGCUCAUAGCUUGAUGGGGUCAGCCCAUCCUUUGACCAAUUUAACCUCAAAUCAGGUAGGAUUACCCGCUGAACUUAA